AGUGAACGCUGGCGGUAGGCCUAACACAUGCAAGUCGAACGGCAGCACAGUAAAAGCUUGCUCUUACGGGUGGCGAGUGGCGGACGGGUGAGGAAUACAUCGGAAUCUACUUUUUCGUGGGGGAUAACGUAGGGAAACUUACGCUAAUACCGCAUACGACCUACGGGUGAAAGCAGGGGAUCUUCGGACCUUGCGCGAUUGAAUGAGCCGAUGUCGGAUUAGCUAGUUGGCGGGGUAAAGGCCCACCAAGGCGACGAUCCGUAGCUGGUCUGAGAGGAUGAUCAGCCACACUGGAACUGAGACACGGUCCAGACUCCUACGGGAGGCAGCAGUGGGGAAUAUUGGACAAUGGGUGCAAGCCUGAUCCAGCCAUACCGCGUGGGUGAAGAAGGCCUUCGGGUUGUAAAGCCCUUUUGUUGGGAAAGAAAAGCAGCAGGUUAAUACCCCGCUGUUCUGACGGUACCCAAAGAAUAAGCACCGGCUAACUUCGUG
rnacentral:rRNA from 1 species